UUGUGUAAGCGAAGGAGAAUGUUUGUUUGAUGAAAUGUUAUGUUCCAGGUUGCACAUUGAGAAAGAGUGACAGACAGUUUAAACAGUCACUGAAAAUGGGAUAAAUACUUAAAGCUUCCAAGAGUGGUGCGAUGGUCAUUCCUACCAAUACUCCAGAACAGACAUGUAUGCAGCAAGUAGGCUGACUUCAAUGUAUUCUGAGUAUGACUGCAAAACAGAAGGGACUGAUGAAGGUUGAAGCUUUGCUGGAGAAACUUCGCAGCCAGACUCCUUGGUCAUUCACAUAAUUCUCAAGAUCUUGCACUUGCUAAACAAAGAUA